AUUGAACGCUGGCGGCAGGCCUAACACAUGCAAGUCGAGCGGAUGAAGGGAGCUUGCUCCUGGAUUCAGCGGCGGACGGGUGAGUAAUGCCUAGGAAUCUGCCUGGUAGUGGGGGAUAACGUCCGGAAACGGGCGCUAAUACCGCAUACGUCCUGAGGGAGAAAGUGGGGGAUCUUCGGACCUCACGCUAUCAGAUGAGCCUAGGUCGGACUAGCUAGUUGGUGGGGUAAAGGCCUACCAAGGCGACGAUCCGUAACUGGACUGAGAGGAUGAUCAGUCACACUGGAACUGAGACACGGUCCAGACUCCUACGGGAGGCAGCAGUGGGGAAUAUUGGACAAUGGGCGAAAGCCUGAUCCAGCCAUGCCGCGUGCGUGAAGAAGGUCUUCGGAUUGUAAAGCACUUUAAGUUGGGAGGAAGGGCAGUAAGUUAAUACCUUGCUGUUUUGACGUUACCAACAGAAUAAGCACCGGCUAACUUCGUG
rnacentral:rRNA from 1 species